CCAGGUGGUGCGUCCCUGAGGGGGCGGCGAGGCUCUAACAGCUCCACUCCAUCACGCAAAUAUGAGAAGACAAAUACAGAGCAAGUGGAGUGCUAUCAUGUGGGCAGGCCGUGUGUUGUGUGGCCCUUCCCCUCAUGAGAGUGAACAAAAAUCCAAACAGCUGUGUCAUCGACUAACCGUAGGAGAGGGCAGAUCCAAGGGUCCACAGCAACAGGUAUGUCCAAUAGUUAAAGAUUUGUAAUUGCUUAACUGUCCAAAUAAAUAUCAGUCUCCUGAUACUCAUAUGAGCCAGCAAGUUAACUUCUUUUCAAUAAAUCAUGAGUGUGGUCAACAUGGAGGAGUUAAAAGACACUUGGUGCAGCCUGACGUAACAGUGGAGGAGACGGCGGUCUAGAGAAGUGGAAACAGCGUCGCCCCCCCAGGAAAGUUGAGAGGAGCCGGUGAAUUGUGGCAGCAGCUCAUCUUCCCGCCCUUGGUGCCUUUUACAGUUCCACUGCGAAGCACCACGGGUCAGGCUAACAGCGAGGUGACACUCUAAUGACCACAAUAAAAAGGCAUUUCAUUCACACCUUCUCCUCUAUGAACAGGUUCACUUCCAACACAUGGCCUUUGUAGCUGCCCAUGCCACCUCAUUCAUAUCCUCUUGAUAACCCCCCCACACACACCAUUUCCAGCUGUGUAUCCCCGUCAAAAGGACUUCACCAGCAAGAAGAACCCCACUGUCCUGCUUUGAUCUCAUUCAUCCUGCUCACCUCUGACACCACAGCUCCUCUCCCCCUUCUCUAGACGCAACUGCUGGAGUCAACACACUGGAGGGUAAAAUGCUCACCCUGCUGGUUAACUUGGUUUAAAACAAGCAGACAGAAGGCGGCCAUUGUGAUGCUGUUCAUAGUUUAUCAUUUUGAUUUUGUCAAUGACACCAAUGUCAGACCCACACGAUGGAGAGAUUUACAGCUUAAAAAAUAUGUAGGAUAGUGGUCAUGGUUUUCGCAUGCA